GAAUGUGAAAUAAUGGAAUAUUAUAUGUCUGACAUUAGCUACUCCAUUUUAGAUUUACAUUUCGCAUAACCUAGGUCUCUUAGAGAUAAUACAAUAUGUGCUUUUAUUCUUGUUUUGUAACAUUAAGCGUUGCGGUUUUUGUCAUAGAUACAAAUAGAUUAUGUUAGACGGCUAGUUCCGGCACAGACAUUCUGUGUGCAAGAAACUUGUUCCUCAAUUUUCUGAAACUUGUAAGAAUGAAACUUGUGAAAAGAGGAACAUCUGUAUCUGUAUAAAAUACUGUGAACAAUAUAGACAAUUUGCAGUCUAUGAUACAGCAUAUUGUGUCUGUGUCAUUAUUCUGUCCCGCCGGCGCAGGAGGCAUCCACCGGUCCAAGGUCCAGCCUAGGCAACAACGGAACCAGAACCGAACCUAACAGACUGGUACCAGAAGUGGGGUAUUGAUUGACCAGAUCCAACUCACCCCUUUAUACCUGGAGAUGAGGUAUUGGUUAAGCAAUUGGCCGUAAGGAGAAAGACAGGCCCCAUUUACCAAGGUCCAUAUACGGUGGAAAAGGUCCCUUGAAGAUAAAGACCCCAGAAGCCCCGAUGGCUCCCCCCUUGGAGCGAGGGCUCAAGAACAAGGAGGACGCAAAGCUGGAAGCCCCAAUGGCUCCCCCCUUGGAGCGAGGGCUCAAGAACAAGGAGGACGUAAAGCCAGAGACCCUGAUGGCUCCUCCCAUAGAGCAAGGGUCCGGGAAAACCAGCACUUAACUGCCAAUCAGAAUAGAAACUGUAUGGGACAACGGUCAGGGGUGUACAAUAGAAUGAUACGAGGAGGGAAAUAUUGUGGACUGUUGCUUAUACUGUUUGUGGUGACCGCUUUUGGGGUUUGCUACUUCACCCCAGGUUGACAUGGGAUACAUGGGAUACAUGGGAUACAUGGGAUACAUGGGAUACAUAAGAUAGGAAAAAGCCAAGACCCAAAAUUAGUCAUAGUAAGGAAAAGAUUCAUACCAUUUAGAUGGCGAACCAAAUUUGGUAUAGUGAGUGAUCCCAAGAAAGUAAACAUUCUUUGGGAUCAGAGGAGGGAUGUAAGGAAUGUGAAAUAAUGGAAUAUUAUAUGUCUGACAUUAGCUACUCCAUUUUAGAUUUACAUUUCGCAUAACCUAGGUCUCUUAGAGAUAAUACAAUAUGUGCUUUUAUUCUUGUUUUGUAACAUUAAGCGUUGCGGUUUUUGUCAUAGAUACAAAUAGAUUAUGUUAGACGGCUAGUUCCGGCACAGACAUUCUGUGUGCAAGAAACUUGUUCCUCAAUUUUCUGAAACUUGUAAGAAUGAAACUUGUGAAAAGAGGAACAUCUGUAUCUGUAUAAAAUACUGUGAACAAUAUAGACAAUUUGCAGUCUAUGAUACAGCA